AUUGAACGCUGGCGGCAUGCCUUACACAUGCAAGUCGAACGGCAGCAUGAUCUAGCUUGCUAGAUUGAUGGCGAGUGGCGAACGGGUGAGUAAUACAUCGGAACGUGCCCUGUAGUGGGGGAUAACUAGUCGAAAGAUUAGCUAAUACCGCAUACGACCUGAGGGUGAAAGUGGGGGACCGCAAGGCCUCAUGCUAUAGGAGCGGCCGAUGUCUGAUUAGCUAGUUGGUGAGGUAAAGGCUCACCAAGGCGACGAUCAGUAGCUGGUCUGAGAGGACGAUCAGCCACACUGGGACUGAGACACGGCCCAGACUCCUACGGGAGGCAGCAGUGGGGAAUUUUGGACAAUGGGCGAAAGCCUGAUCCAGCAAUGCCGCGUGUGUGAAGAAGGCCUUCGGGUUGUAAAGCACUUUUGUCCGGAAAGAAAUGGCUCUGGUUAAUACCUGGGGUCGAUGAUGGUACCGGAAGAAUAAGGACCGGCUAACUACGU
rnacentral:rRNA from 1 species